rnacentral:rRNA from 1 species
AUGAACGCUGGCGGCGUGCCUAAUACAUGCAAGUCGAGCGAACGGACGAGAAGCUUGCUUUUCUGAUGUUAGCGGCGGACGGGUGAGUAACACGUGGAUAACCUACCUAUAAGACUGGGAUAACUUCGGGAAACCGGAGCUAAUACCGGAUAAUAUUUUGAACCGCAUGGUUCAAAAGUGAAAGACGGUCUUGCUGUCACUUAUAGAUGGAUCCGCGCUGCAUUAGCUAGUUGGUAAGGUAACGGCUUACCAAGGCAACGAUGCAUAGCCGACCUGAGAGGGUGAUCGGCCACAAUGGAACUGAGACACGGUCCAGACUCCUACGGGAGGCAGCAGUAGGGAAUCUUCCGCAAUGGGCGAAAGCCUGACGGAGCAACGCCGCGUGAGUGAUGAAGGUCUUCGGAUCGUAAAACUCUGUUAUUAGGGAAGAACAUAUGUGUAAGUAACUGUGCACAUCUUGACGGUACCUAAUCAGAAAGCCACGGCUAACUACGUG